CCUACGGGAGGCAGCAGUGGGGAAUAUUGGACAAUGGGGGGAACCCUGAUCCAGCCAUGCCGCGUGUGUGAAGAAGGCCCUCGGGUUGUAAAGCACUUUCAGUGAAGAAGAACGCCUGGUGGUUAAUACCCAUCAGGAAAGACAUCACUCACAGAAGAAGCACCGGCUAACUCCGUGCCAGCAGCCGCGGUAAUACGGAGGGUGCGAGCGUUAAUCGGAAUUACUGGGCGUAAAGCGCGCGUAGGUGGCUUGAUAAGCCGGUUGUGAAAGCCCCGGGCUCAACCUGGGAACGGCAUCCGGAACUGUCAAGCUAGAGUGCAGGAGAGGAAGGUAGAAUUCCCGGUGUAGCGGUGAAAUGCGUAGAGAUCGGGAGGAAUACCAGUGGCGAAGGCGGCCUUCUGGACUGACACUGACACUGAGGUGCGAAAGCGUGGGUAGCAAACAGGAUUAGAUACCCGAGUAGUC
rnacentral:rRNA from 1 species